AUUGUCAAAAAUACAGAACUAUUGGAAAUAUUUAUGGAAUCUCUGCAAUAACUAUGCGAGAUAUGUAUAAGGGAUGUCGUAUACUGGAAGAAAAUAUGAUGGGAUAAAUGGUUCCAAAGACCCGGAAUAUCUUCGAGCAAUAUAUUGGAAAAAAUAUGGAAUAGAUAUUCAAAGAAAACCUGAUUCGAUGGAUAGUCCGUGUGGAGCAUUGGGAGGGAAAUAUUUUGACACUUCCCCCUGCCUCGGUCAACAUGUUGCCGGUGUGUGUGGGUCCUUGAGCACCUGCGAUCUGUUGGAAGGAUUUCCUUACGGCUUAGUCAAGCAAAUGCCCACAACUGACCAGCAACCAAAUAUAUAUCUAAGUUGAAGUAAUUUGCUGAUGAUCAGUUCAUAAUUGAUUCCAUUACACCAAUCAGGGAAUAAAUACAUAAUGACCGAUAAUUUAUUGAUAUUCAGAUAUCUUAAUGUUGUAUUCUGCGUGCCAUCAUUAAAUCAAUUUAUGUUUUUUACAAGUCAUUCCUUAUUUUUAUCAACUCAUUUAGUUCAUUGAUGCCUGAAAAACGUGAAUGAAAAAAUUCAUAAACUUUGCUCCCUUGAUCAAGUACUUGAUACGGCCCAAGAAAGCCGCAAACGAUCCAUUUGACUGAUAAAAAUUUAAUGAAUGAAUGUUCCCCACGUAAUGUACUGUUCUACUGAUCUCCGGAUUAUUGCCAAACGGGAGCCAGGGUCCGGGAAUUGGGAACCAGGAACCGGGAACCGGGAACAGGCCCAGAACAGGACACUUGGGA
rnacentral:sRNA from 1 species